rnacentral:rRNA from 1 species
UACGUAUGGUGCAAACGUUGUUCGGAAUCACUGGGCCUAAAGAGCGCGUAGGCGGCUAAGCAAGUCAGGUGUGAAAACCCCCGGCUUAACUGGGGAACUGCAUUUGAUACUGCUUGGCUAGAGUGCAGGAGGGGAGAGUGGAAUUCCUGGUGGAGCGGUGAAAUGCGUAGAUAUCAGGAGGAACGCCGGUGGCGAAAGCGACUCUCUGGUCUGCAACUGACGCUGAGGUGCGAAAGCUAGGGGAGCAAACGGG